rnacentral:rRNA from 1 species
CUGAAAUUCGCCUUCAUGAAGCCGGAAUUGCUAGUAAUGGCAGGUCAGCAUACUGCCGUGAAUACGUUCCCGGGCCUUGUACACACCGCCCGUCACACCAUGAGAGUUGGGAAUACCCGAAGCCUGUGAGCUAACUAAUAGAGGCAGCAGUCGAAGGUAGGAUCAAUGAUUGGGGUGAAGUCGUAACAAGGUAGC